ensembl:snRNA U6 U6 spliceosomal RNA
GUGCUCGCUUUGACAGCACAUUUGCUAAAAUUGGAAUGAUACAGAGAUUAGCGUGGCCCCUGCACAAGGAUGACACGUAAAUUCGUGAAGCAUUCCAUAUUUAA